UUCUGUUUUGAGUUUUCUCAAGAUAUAUAUUUUUUUUAUAAAGAAAAAGUAGUCUUCUGUUGUUCCACUUCCAAAUUGUCCUUGCCACAAUGUUAUACAUGGGAGGCAGCUUAGCCUAACAGAAAAUGGCUGCUGCUAUUGGAGGUCUUUUUUUAUGGAGGCCACCUUCCAUCAUGUUUGAGUACUUUUCAAUGGAAACAUUUAAAAAGAAAAAAGGCUUUAAGUUGACUCUGAUGAAGGGCAGGCAAGGCAGGCAGUGCAUGCAACUUUAGAAACCAUUCCUUUCUUACACGAAGAAGUAGAAAGAUCAGUCGUGGCCUCCAAAACCACUGCCUUUCUUAUUUCCUUUUUUCCUUCUCUACAGGAGAGUUUGAGGCCUCCAAUACUAGGAUGAAUCUUAAUCACUCUCCUAACAAGGUAUACUGUAAAGUGGUGAAUAUGUGGUUUUUCAUGUUUGGAAGCUAUUUACUUUUCUCUUUAACAACUUCUCUAGUCCCUACUGUCAGAGACAUGAGAGAUCCAGAUAUUAUACAAGUAUAUAAUUUGAUGUCAACAGAUUCGUUAAGAACAGUUCUGAUGAGUUUGAUCUGUUUCAGGAAUCUGACCUGGACGAGAAUUUCUGAGGUGUGAGUAAUUUUCACUCAGGAAAGUUAUACAAUGUGUAUUGUGUUGGUUAGCUUACAGUAAUGUUUUCUUACAUGAAGGAUGGAUUCCAAAGGGAGAUGAGGAAGCUUUUGAUUGUUUACAGACCAGAUUAUGAUGAUCCUGUGGAUAAGCAUGAGCCUCAGAAACCAGGCACUGGAAAGACAUAGGACUUGAGAUUCCUGUGUUUCCCUUGGGCAAAUAAUGAGGAUGAAAAUGGGAACUCUCCUGAUAGUCUCCUUGUGAACCAAAUAAGACUUCCAAAUUGAAAAGUUCUGAAUCCUAACGGAAGGUGUAGAAUGAUUCAACAAGUUGUAGUGCAGUUUUAGAGGCAUGAUAGUUAAGGCGUCAAACUCUUGUGAGGAUGAAAAGUAUGGAACAAUAAGCUGAUUAUACAACAGUGGGACACACAAACUUUAAAGACAGAAAAUAGAGGACGCCCACCAAAUACCGAAAG